AGAGGAGUCUCUGUGUCUGUGGUCUCUUAGUUCUGAGGUGGCCACAGGACGAGGCGGACAGAUCUUUCAGUCGGUGGUUGCGUACUGAAUCACUUAAGAAGAAGAAGAAGAAGACGAUAGCGAUACCACUUCAGCGCACCACUCGUUUCUCAUGUUCACAAAAGCACGGGGAGCCCUCCCUCUCUAAUUGAGGAGCUACGUCUAUCGCCAUGCGUCGCAUUACGGCGUUGAUGACGUUGCUUGUGGCAACGUCGUCGGCCACCCGCACAGAGGACACAGAACAUCCCUGCAAAGUCAUGCGCGUCGACGCGGACGUCGAGAAUUCGACGCUGUCGGUGACGUACAACACUACGGUGGUCGACAGAAAGGCCUGUGGCGACGCUGAUCCCAUUUGCAACAUUUUCCGGGACUCAGGUCGAUCUUACGCUAUACUAAAGGAUGCAGUGAACGGCCGAGAUCUCAAAGACAUCGACCAUAUCGAG